GACGUAGGGGGCAAGCGUUGUCCGGAUUCACUGGGCGUAAAGGGAGCGCAGGCGGUUACGUAAGUCCGGCGUGAAAUACCCCGGCUCAACUGGGGAAUUGCGUCGGAUACUGCGUUGACUAGAGGACGGUAGAGGCAAGUGGAACUAGCGGUGUAGCGGUGAAAUGCGCAGAUAUCGCUAGGAACGCCGGUGGCGAAGGCGACUUGCUGGGCCGAUUCUGACGCUCAUGCUCGAAAGCUAGGGGAGCGAACCGG
rnacentral:rRNA from 1 species